rnacentral:rRNA from 1 species
GGAGCUUGCUCCCGGAUGUUAGCGGCGGACGGGUGAGUAACACGUGGGUAACCUGCCUGUAAGACUGGGAUAACUCCGGGAAACCGGAGCUAAUACCGGAUAGUUCCUUGAACCGCAUGGUUCAAGGAUGAAAGACGGUUUCGGCUGUCACUUACAGAUGGACCCGCGGCGCAUUAGCUAGUUGGUGAGGUAACGGCUCACCAAGGCGACGAUGCGUAGCCGACCUGAGAGGGUGAUCGGCCACACUGGGACUGAGACACGGCCCAGACUCCUACGGGAGGCAGCAGUAGGGAAUCUUCCGCAAUGGACGAAAGUCUGACGGAGCAACGCCGCGUGAGUGAUGAAGGUUUUCGGAUCGUAAAGCUCUGUUGUUAGGGAAGAACAAGUGCAAGAGUAACUGCUUGCACCUUGACGGUACCUAACCAGAAAGCCACGGCUAACUACGUGCCAGCAGCCGCGGUAAUACGUAGGUGGCAAGCGUUGUCCGGAAUUAUUGGGCGUAAAGGGCUCGCAGGCGGUUUCUUAAGUCUGAUGUGAAAGCCCCCGGCUCAACCGGGGAGGGUCAUUGGAAACUGGGAAACUUGAGUGCAGAAGAGGAGAGUGGAAUUCCACGUGUAGCGGUGAAAUGCGUAGAGAUGUGGAGGAACACCAGUGGCGAACGCGACUCUCUGGUCUGUAACUGACGCUGAGGAGCGAAAGCGUGGGGAGCGAACAGGAUUAGAUACCCUGGUAGUCCACGCCGUAAACGAUGAGUGCUAAG